AACGUAGGAGGCGAGCGUUAUCCGGAUUUACUGGGUGUAAAGCGCAUGCAGGCGGUUACGUAAGUUGGGUGUGAAAGCUCCUGGCUCAACUGGGAGAGGUCGCUCAAGACUGCGUGACUUGAGAAUGGUAGGGGAACGUGGAAUUCCGGGUGUAGUGGUGAAAUGCGUAGAUAUCCGGAGGAACACCAGUGGCGAAAGCGGCGUUCUGGACCAUGACUGACGCUCAGAUGCGACAGCUAGGGGAGCAAACGGG
rnacentral:rRNA from 1 species